CUUGAUGCUGAAAGUGGCCCACCAGCCUCCAUAUAUACAGCCCCAUUGUUCUCCUAGACAAGGCCAUGAACUGGCAAAACAAGAGAUUCGAGUGAGGGUUGAAAAGGAUCCAGAACUUGGAUUUAGCAUAUCAGGUGGUGUCGGGGGUAGAGGAAACCCAUUCAGACCUGAUGAUGAUGUAAGUUUUCUUUGUAUAUUCUUGAAACACCUAUAAAGUUUUAUUUACCGAUUGAAUACUUAAAUGUAAGUGAAAAUCUAAUAGAUGUUUAUGUAAAUCUAGGUAGACAUCACCUUGAUUCCCCACUCUAUCGCUUACCUUUUUGUUUUGUAAUUUGAUCAGUUCAAGUUAAAACAAUUUAACCAAAAA
rnacentral:sRNA from 1 species